UGGUGUAGCGGUGGAAUGCGCAGAUAUCAGGAGGAACACCGAUGGCGAAGGCAGAUCUCUGGGCCGUAACUGACGCUGAGGAGCGAAAGCAUGGGGAGCAAACAGGCUUAGAUACCCUGGUAGUCCAUGCCGUAAACGUUGGGAACUAGAUGUGGGGACCAUUCCACGGUCUCCGUGUNGUAGCUAACGCAUUAAGUUCCCCGCCUGGGGAGUACGGCCGCAAGGCUAAAACUCAAAGGAAUUGACGGGGGCCCGCACAAGCGGCGGAGCAUGCGGAUUAAUUCGAUGCAACGCGAAGAACCUUACCAAGGCUUGACAUAUACGAGAACGCACUGGAGACAGUGAACUCUUUGGACACUCGUAUACAGGUGGUGCAUGGUUGUCGUCAGCUCGUGUCGUGAGAUGUUGGGUUAAGUCCCGCAACGAGCGCAACCCUCGUCCUAUGUUGCCAGCACGUAAUGGUGGGAACUCAUGGGAUACUGCCGGGGUCAACUCGGAGGAAGGUGGGGAUGAGGUCAAAUCAUCAUGCCCCUUAUGUCUUGGGCUUCACGCAUGCUACAAUGGCCGGUACAAUGGGCUGCGAUACCGCAAGGUGGAGCGAAUCCCAAAAAGCCGGUCUCAGUUCGGAUUGAGGUNUGCAACUCGACCUCAUGAAGUCGGAGUCGCUAGUAAUCGUAGAUCAGCAACGNUACGGUGAAUACGUUCCCGGGCCUUGUACACACCGCCCGUCAAGUCAUGAAAGUCGGUAACACCCGAAGCC
rnacentral:rRNA from 1 species